UACAGAGGGUGCGAGCGUUUGUUCGGAAUUAUUGGGCGUAAAGCGCGUGUAGGCGGCUUUGCAAGUCGGGUGUGAAAUCCCUCAGCUCAACUGGGGAAGUGCGCCCGAAACUGCAGAGCUUGAGUACCAGAGAGGAUGGCAGAAUUCCCCAAGUAGAGGUGAAAUUCGUAGAUAUGGGGGAGGAAUACCGGUGGCGAAGGCGGCCAUCUGGAUGGAUACUGACGCUGAGACGCGAAAAGCGUGGGUAGCAAACAGG
rnacentral:rRNA from 1 species